CAUCCGCAGCCAUUCCUUGGGGCGGGACAUGCACACAGGCGCUCAGCAGCUCAGCAGAAGGGAAAGCAGAACGGGAAGCCGCGGCACGGGACGGCCGAAGGACGCAGCGCGGCACCCAGCGACCUUCGCGCCUCCUCCCGUCACGGCGCGGCCUAAGCGCAGCGGGAGGCGCGGGCACGGCGGGCUGCUGCUCCCCGGCCUGCCCCGGCCCCGGCCCGCCCCCCAGCCGCUGCCAUCGCGGCGCCCGUCCCUCCCCGCCCCGCUCCUCCCCGCCGGCUCCGGCCGGGCCCGGGCCCUCCGGCCGCU
rnacentral:lncRNA from 1 species